GAGAUGGCGGAAAGCACACGACUGUGACCUGAACCAUAUGACUAUAGGACUUGUGAGUAAAUUGUUGCAAGGGGGAUGCGUGACUGCUAGCGCUUGCUGUGUGCUUAACUUCAUAUGGGAACAUGUCGUCCAAUUGAUAGUGAGGAGAUGUUGUCAUUCUGAGGUCUCCUGAGAAACCAAAUAACCUUAUUUGCAAGAGGAUUGCUGCAAUGGGUGGGGAGUUCAUGAGAACUGACACUGAUGGAAAAGAUAGCUUUGAAAACCUCAAUCUUCUUUGUAUUGG